rnacentral:tRNA from 1 species
GGGCGCGUAGCUCAGUGGUAGAGCAUUACACUGAUAAUGUAAGGGUCGAAGGUUCAAUUCCUUCCGCGCCCA